rnacentral:rRNA from 1 species
AAUGAACGCUGGCGGCGCGCCUAAUACAUGCAAGUCGAGCGAGAAGACGUAGCAAUACGUUUGUAAAGCGGCGAACGGGUGAGGAAUACAUGGGUAACCUACCCUCGAGUGGGGAAUAACUAGCCGAAAGGUUAGCUAAUACCGCGUACGCUCCUUGGACUUCGGUUCAGGGAGGAAAGCGAUACCGUGGGUAUCGCGCUCUUGGUUGGGCUCAUGUCCUAUCAGCUUGUUGGUGAGGAACGGCUCACCAAGGCUUCGACGGGUAGCUGGUCUGAGAGGACGAUCAGCCACACUGGCACUGCGACACGGGCCAGACUCCUACGGGAGCAGCAGUAAGGAAUAUUGCGCAAUGGGCGAAAGCCUGACGCAGCGACGCCGCGUGGGGGAUGAAGGUCUUCGGAUUGUAAACCCCUUUCGGGAGGGAAGAUGGAACGAGCAAUCGUUCGGACGGUACCUCCACGAAGCAGCCACGGCUAACUUCGUGCCAGCAGCCG